CAGCCGCCACGGGAAUACAGAGGGUGCGAGCGUUAAUCGGAUUUACUGGGCGUAAAGCGUGCGUAGGCGGCUUCUUAAGUCGGAUGUGAAAUCCCUGAGCUUAACUUAGGAAUUGCAUUCGAUACUGGGAAGCUAGAGUAUGGGAGAGGAUGGUAGAAUUCCAGGUGUAGCGGUGAAAUGCGUAGAGAUCUGGAGGAAUACCGAUGGCGAAGGCAGCCAUCUGGCCUAAUACUGACGCUGAGGUACGAAAGCAUGGGGAGCAAACAGGAUUAGAUACCCCUGUAGUCCCUGUCUCUUAUAC
rnacentral:rRNA from 1 species